AUUUCGACAUUUCCAAAAUACGAAUCGUGAAUGUCGCCUCAUGGAAUGUUGCUGUAUAAAACACUUAGCAUAUUCCCUCUUUAAAACGUCAAAGAACAACGUGUCCGUGCGUUUUCCAAGGAAACGGAGUUUUCAUCAACAUCAGUGCGACAGAAACUGUUGUGGAACAACCAUCUGCGGCACCAGUUAACCGGUAAUCAUCUUGCGUUGUAAACUUUUUUCAUCUGUAAACCUCCCUAAAGAAGUACGAGACCAAAGAAUGGCUUUUUCUUAUGUUGAUUAUGUGUUGUACAUAACCGGAGCACUGCUUGCGGCGUACCCUCACAAAUACUUGGUGAGCGGAGCCAACGUGGGCCUACGAAGUUCUGAAUCUACUUGUCUCAAGUUAGGAUGGAAGUACGGUGGGCCAUACCAAAGUUGGUAUACUUACAAUUAUGAAGACGACGAUUGCGAUAAAACAGAUUCUACUGUUUUAUUGUCCGAAAAGUGGCCGGCAAAUAAUGCUUUUCUAAGUCGACAUGAGUGCUUAAAAGAAUGCAUGCCGAGCUUUGACCAGUAUGGUGAAUAGACAUCAAGAAUAAAGCAACCAUUUAUGUAUGUCCUCGUACCAAGUACCUCGGAUACAGACCCUAGUUCAACCAUUCAUAGCUCUUGUAAGGCUUCAUGG